GUCAAUUGCUCCCACAUAUUAUAUAAGUGGGAGCUUGCAAAAGCUUAAAUUAACUAGAUUAAGUAUAUUUUUACCAUGCUAUAUGUUAUAUUAGCUCUGAUAUAGACCAAUAUAUUUUAGUAAUAAA
rnacentral:ncRNA from 1 species